rnacentral:rRNA from 1 species
UACGGGGGGGGCAAGCGUUGUUCGGAAUUACUGGGCGUAAAGGGCUCGUAGGUGGCCAACUAAGUCAGACGUGAAAUCCCUCGGCUUAACCGGGGAACUGCGUCUGAUACUGGAUGGCUAGAGUUUGGGAGAGGGAUGCGGAAUUCCAGGUGUAGCGGUGAAAUGCGUAGAUAUCUGGUGGAACACCGGUGGCGAAGGCGGCUUGCUGGUCCGGUACUGACGCUGAGGUGCGAAAGCGUGGGGAGCAAACAGG